AACCCGCGGUAAUUCCAGCUCCAAUAGCGUAUAUUAAAGUUGUUGCAGUUAAAAAGCUCGUAGUUGAAUUUCGGGGUUAGUAGGUUGGUCAUGCCUCUGGUAUGUACUGGUCUCACUGAUUCCUCCUUCCUGAUGAGCCGUAAUGCCAUUAAUUUGGUGUUGCGGGGAAUUUGGACUGUUACUUUGAAAAAAUUAGAGUGUUUAAAGCAAGCUAACGCUUGAAUACAUUAGCAUGGAAUAAUGAAAUAGGACGUUCGAUCCUAUUUUGUUGGUUUCUAGGAUUGACGUAAUGAUUAAUAGGGAUAGUUGGGGGCAUUAGUAUUCAAUUGUCAGAGGUGAAAUUCUUGGAUUUAUUGAAGACUAACUACUGCGAAAGCAUUUGCCAAGGAUGUUUUCAUUAAUCAAGAACGAAAGUUAGGGGAUCGAAGACGAUCAGAUACCGUCGUAGUCUUAACCAUAAACUAUGCCGACUAGGGAUCGGAUGAUGUUAAUUUUUUAAUGACUCAUUCGGCGCCUUACG
rnacentral:misc_RNA from 1 species